rnacentral:rRNA from 1 species
AUGGAGGUCAUGUCUUCCAUAGCCGUGCUCCUACUCCUCUCCUGCUCGCUCACGGCGGCGACGGCGCCUGCCGGCACGAUCGAGCGCGUGUCCAAGCAGCAGAUCCUGGCGAGCAUCCCGCCAGGAGGGCACGCCAGCCCGCCCGUGCUGUUCCUCACGUCCCCCUCUGGCAAGUACGCGGCCUACUUCGUGCGCACCCACACCGCGCCUGGCGCCGGCGGGCUCGGCGCCGACUUUUGCUACGUCGAGGUGAUGGCCGGUGGUGAGGGCGAAGGCGGCGGCAGCGCUACCCACGCGAGCGCGUGGGAGUCGGAGUGCCGGCCGGUGAGCACGGUGAACACGUGCACCCUGCUCUUCUCGUGGCACGGACUGGAGGUGUUCGACGGGGCCGAGGAGGUGUGGCACGGCGAGACCAACACCGACGGGACCAACUUCCUCCAGACGCUCGAGCUCGUCGACGACGGCGACAUGCGCGUCCGCGACAAGGACGGCGAGCUCGCGUGGCGCGCCAGCGACGAGCCCCGCCACGCGCAGCACUGCGGCGCGCCGGGGUCCCCGGGCCUCGCGGCCGCGCUGCCGCCCUUCGCCGAGCCCAUUGGCGCGCACAGCAGCAACCUGCCCUUCGGCCAGGUGGAGGGCGGCAACGGCCACGCGGCCGAGCUGCCGCAGGCGGCGGGUCUCGGGGACGGGGUUGCUCCAGGGGCCGGAGCCUUUGCCGGCGUAGGAGGAGUUGCCCCGGGGCCGGGAGCAGGCGGAUUGGGCGACGGGUACGGCUACGGCAUUGCACCAACGGCGGGAGGCGGCGGAGGUGUUGCCGCGGGGGCAGGAGCAGGACCCUUGGGUGACGGCUACGGGAUUGCACCGGGCGCCGGGACAGGAGCCUUCGAUGGUACCGGGGACAUGGACGGACAGGGUGCAGCCGCGACGGCGGCGGGGGCUGCGGGCGGGGUGGCCGGAGCGGCAGUGUUCGGCAGCCAGCCGCUUGUGGACAACAGCCCCUACGACAGCGGAGCCUACAAGGGCAGCCGUGGGGCCCGUCUCGCGGCGAUUGGAACCGUGGUUUUCGUCGGUGCCAUUGCCGUGGGUUUCUGA